AUUGAACGCUGGCGGCAUGCCUUACACAUGCAAGUCGAACGGCAGCACGGGUGCUUGCACCUGGUGGCGAGUGGCGAACGGGUGAGUAAUACAUCGGAACAUGUCCUGUAGUGGGGGAUAGCCCGGCGAAAGCCGGAUUAAUACCGCAUACGAUCUACGGAUGAAAGCGGGGGACCUUCGGGCCUCGCGCUUUAGGGUUGGCCGAUGGCUGAUUAGCUAGUUGGUGGGGUAAAGGCCUACCAAGGCGACGAUCAGUAGCUGGUCUGAGAGGACGACCAGCCACACUGGAACUGAGACACGGCCCAGACUCCUACGGGAGGCAGCAGUGGGGAAUUUUGGACAAUGGGCGAAAGCCUGAUCCAGCAAUGCCGCGUGUGUGAAGAAGGCCUUCGGGUUGUAAAGCACUUUUGUCCGGAAAGAAAUCCUUGGCUCUAAUACAGUCGGGGGAUGACGGUACCGGAAGAAUAAGCACCGGCUAACUACGUG
rnacentral:rRNA from 1 species